AGCGGCGGACGGGUUAGUAACGCGUGGGAACAUACCCUUUUCUACGGAAUAGCCUCGGGAAACUGAGAGUAAUACCGUAUAAGCCCUUCGGGGGAAAGAUUUAUCGGGAAAGGAUUGGCCCGCGUUAGAUUAGAUAGUUGGUGGGGUAAUGGCCUACCAAGUCUACGAUCUAUAGCUGGUUUUAGAGGAUGAUCAGCAACACUGGGACUGAGACACGGCCCAGACUCCUACGGGAGGCAGCAGUGGGGAAUCUUAGACAAUGGGCGCAAGCCUGAUCUAGCCAUGCCGCGUGUGUGAUGAAGGUCUUAGGAUCGUAAAGCACUUUCGCCAGGGAUGAUAAUGACAGUACCUGGUAAAGAAACCCCGGCUAACUCCGUGCC
rnacentral:rRNA from 1 species